CAAAAAAUGCUGGUGUGAAGGGUUCUACUAUUGCUGGCUAUGUCAUCUAGAAAUGAACCUGCUAUGUCAGCGAAGAUUCUUAAUAAAGCUGGUUGGAUGUUAUCGGACCAGACUGGUAGAGU